rnacentral:rRNA from 1 species
GGAAAGGGUGCAUUUAUUAGAACAAAACCAAGCCGCUUGCGGUUUUUUGUUGACUCAGAAUAACUCAGCUGAUCGCAUGGUCUUGUACCGGCGACGUGUCUUUCGAGUAUCUGCCUUAUCAACUUUCGAUGGUAGUGUAUCUGACUACCAUGGUGGUGACGGGUAACGGAGGAUAAGGGUUCGACUCCGGAGAAGGCGCCUGAGAAAUGGCGACUACGUCUAAGGAUGGCAGCAGGCGCGCAAAUUACCCACUCUCAGAAUGAGGAGGUAGUGACGAGAAAUAACGAGACCGUUCUCUAUGAGGCCGGUCAUCGGAAUGGGUACAAUCUAAACCCUUUAACGAGUAUCUAUGAGAGGGCAAGUCUGGUGCCAGCAGCCGCGGUAAUUCCAGCUCUCAAAAUGCAUAGAAUUAUUGCUGCGGUUAAAAAGCUCGUAGUUGGAUCUGUGCUAGAGACUUGGUCCACCUUCGGGUGCGUACUGAGCUCUCUUGCUUUUCUGCCGGUUUUCCCAGCAUGGCUUUAAUCGGCUGUGUUGGGUGGCUGGUGAUUUUACUUUGAACAAAUCAGAGUGCUUCAAACAGGCGUUUCGCUUGUAUGUUUUUGCAUGGAAUAAUAGAAGAGGAUUUCGGUUCUAUUUUAUUGGUUUUAUAGACCGAAAUAAUGGUUAACAGAGACGAACGGGGGCAUUAGUACUUUUGCGCUAGAGGUGAAAUUCUUGGACCGCAGAAAGACUAACUACAGCGAAAGCAUUUGCCAAGAACGUCUUCAUUAAUCAAGAACGAAAGUCAGAGGUUCGAAGGCGAUCAGAUACCGCCCUAGUUCUGACCGUAAACGAUGCCAACUAGCGAUCUGCCGGUGGAAUAUUCGCCCUGGUAGGGAGCUUCCCGGAAACGAAAGUCUUCCGGUUCCGGGGGAAGUAUGGUUGCAAAGCUGAAACUUAAAGGAAUUGACGGAAGGGCACCACCAGGAGUGGAGCCUGCGGCUUAAUUUGACUCAACACGGGAAAACUCACCCGGCCCGGACACUGUAAGGAUUGACAGAUUGAUAGCUUUUUCAUGAUUCGGUGGAUGGUGGUGCAUGGCCGUUCUUAGUUCGUGGAGCGAUUUGUCUGGUUUAUUCCGAUAACGAGCGAGACUCUAGCCUGCUAAAUAGUCCACACAUUGCUAUUGUGUGUGGUACUUCUUAGAGGGAUUAUCGGUGUAUAGCCGCAUGAAAUUGAGCAAUAACAGGUCUGUGAUG